rnacentral:rRNA from 1 species
UACGGAGGGUGCAAGCGUUAAUCGGAAUUACUGGGCGUAAAGCGUGCGCAGGCGGUUUGUAAGUUUGUCGUGAAAUCCUCGGGCUCAACCUGGGAAUGGCGAUGAAGACUGCAAGGCUAGAAUCUGGCAGAGGGGGGUAGAAUUCCACGUGUAGCAGUGAAAUGCGUAGAGAUGUGGAGGAACACCGAUGGCGAAGGCAGCCCCCUGGACCUGUACUGACGCUCAUGCACGAAAGCGUGGGGAGCAACAGG